rnacentral:rRNA from 1 species
UACGUAGGGUGCGAGCGUUGUCCGGAAUUACUGGGCGUAAAGAGCUCGUAGGUGGUUCGUCGCGUUGUUCGUGAAAACUCACAACUCAAUUGUGGGCGUGCGGGCGAUACGGGCAGACUGGAGUACUGCAGGGGAGACUGGAAUUCCUGGUGUAGCGGUGAAAUGCGCAGAUAUCAGGAGGAACACCGGUGGCGAAGGCGGGUCUCUGGGCCGAUACUGACGCUGAGGAGCGAAAGCGUGGGGAGCGAACAGG